rnacentral:lncRNA from 1 species
UGGGCCCAGCUCGGACUGGUCCGCCGGGCCCAAGGGCUCUGGUGCCUUCUGGAAAGCGCUGGCUGGGACUUCACCCUCCUCCUGCAUGUGACGGACACAGCACUGAUCCUGGCAGCUCCUUACCCCCAGCAGCCCGAAACUCACUCCUUAAUUACACAAGGGAAACCUUUUACCUCCGCAGCCAGAGUCUGGGGGGAAAGGCAGGCGUGGGAAGAUGGGUUCUCUACCUGGCCAGUGCCAUGUUGCCUGUUUCUUUACUGUAACUGUGGUGACAAAGAAAAGGGAAGAUGGAGCCUCCAUGUUGAACAUACCUGGCCCCCAGCACUAACUCCCUCUCUGGAUAUCUGGAACAAGGAGGACCUUAAACUUAACAAUAAAGCCAAUGAUGGUUCUACCAGUCUCCCCAAAGCCUCAAGUUUAAAAGCCAUAUGAACUGGCUGAUAGUGGAAAAUGGAAGCCAUGAGGAAAUCAGAUUAGAGUACUACCUGGUGAAGCCUGGAGGACCUACCAAGAAAAGCAAACUUGGAUCUUUGCAAGGUUAGAAGAACGAAUGGGAUCCAAGAAAAAGACUGGUCAUAUUCAACGGCUAAGAGCGUUGGAGAAGGCCUGUGGAGUCUCAGCAGGUCAGGUCCAUGACUCAUGAGUAGACACCUGUGUUUCUACUGCCUGGUGCCAUAAUCAUAAACAAGGAAGAAACUGAGGACAGGAGGGGCCAAACAAGUUACAGUUUCAUCCCUCCAGAGAGCCAACAGAGUAUUUUGCACGAAGUUGAAGCUAAACAGGUAUUAUGUCCUAUCUCUGGACUGAAUGACUAGAUGCUACUCAGCUUCUGAACUAGAGGAAGCCUGGGACCUUGACCGCACUAAUGCUGAUGACAGCGGAUUUGCAAGUGGCUAGAGGUACCAGAUUUAGCAAAUCAAAAUAUAGGACGUCAAGUUAAAUUUAAGUGUAAGAUAAGCUACGAAUACCUUUUCUAGUAUUAGUACGUCCCAUGCAAUAUACUAGAAAUGUUAUUCGUUAUUUAUGUUAAAUUUAAUUUUAUUAGGGCAUCCUAUAUUUUACCUGUCAAUCCAACCCAUGACCUAGGCAGACACUGUAGAAAAACAAAAGGAGAAUUAAGGAGAUAAAUGAAACACAGGGUGAGCUGAAAAGAGGUGCUCUGUGAAUUUGAGGGUCCAGUAGGAGCUGACUUGUAGGUACUUGGUCUGUUUUGAUGCCCACAACAACCUUGGGGAAGGGGCGGAAUAGCAGAGGGGUAAGCUCUCUGCCCCCCACCAGGGUUCUGCAGGACGCCAGGGCUUUUAUCAGCACCCCUAUGUUCACAUCCUGGCUGCACCCUCCUUGGUUGUAUAUACUCUGGAUAAUUCACUUAAUUUAAAUCUUGCUGCUUUUAUAAAAUUGAUAAAAAGUUAAUAGUGACACUGAUCACACUGAUGUCCCUCAAUGAAUUAUCAAUAUGUUUUUUCUUCCCACCUAUAUUCUUUAUUGAACUCUGUUAUUUUUGAUCCUGGUCUAGAGUAAGCAUUAUGACCAUGCAAGAGUGAAAUGAAAUUUUUAAAAAUAAUUUUUUAAUGUUUUCUGAAUGCUGGGUGUUUUCAAUGAUCAUGCAUGACUGGCAGCAAAGAGGAACGAGGAUGGAUUCGAUAAGGUGCAACAAGUCCUGAACACACACAGAGAACUGGCUGUGAAUCCUGUUUCUGCCACUCACCACUUACUUGUUGGUGAAAAUGCUCAGGAUGUUCACUGCAGCCUGCCUCACCCUGGAAAAGAGAUGUGAGGAUAAUGAGAAAGAAGAGUAUGUUCAGUGCGGAGCAUGCAAAUUUGCAUGAAAACUUCCCAGGCAAAGCAGGAAAGAAACCAGACCUCUUUUCUGCACAAUAAUGGGGCCCACUAACUCUGGGGAAAAGAGUAAUCAGCAAAUGCCUUUCCUUUCUCCUGCUGAUGUUUUGCCCGUACUCAGACCCCUUGACUUCUUAGCUUCUACCCAAAGUGAGCUUGUCAUCAAAGUUCUCCAAAAAUCUGCAGUGUUCUCUUGAGCAAAUCUGCUUCCAAGACUAUAGCGCUCUGAUGCAUUGAGAUGACAGCAAGCGGCAUUUUUCAGUCCUGUUACCCAUAUGGCUGCUACCACUGCAUCCUGUUAAAUAAUGUCUUCAACCCAAGAAACCUGCUUCCUAGGGAAGUUUCUCUCUCUCUGCAUUUGUUCCCACUAGAGAAUGACCAUCACCAGAUUCCUGAACUGAAAAUGCUGUUGACACUUUGGAAACUCGGGCCUCUAUUAAUAGGGUGACCAACUAUCCUGGUUUACCUUGAGUACAGGAUUUUCAAUGCUAAAACCAGAAAAACCAGGAUGGUUGGUCAUCUGCCUCAGACCUAAUAAAUACCAGUCAAUAAUUCAGCCAUGAGCUUUCUUAAGACACUGUCUUUUCUUGACUGUUGAAUAGUCUAGGACUUGAGUAGCAGCUCUUUCUGCUACUGGACACUUGUUUUACUACCCUAUUUCUCUAGAUUUUAUUUUGUGGCUAAUAAUUAAGACAUAAAAUCAUGGGUUCUGGUUAUGCCAAAGCACUCACUCUUCAAAAGUUUCCAUCCAGAGUUGGAUAAUCCCACACAGAAGGUGUUCUUUCAACAGACCAGCAUCCAAUAGACCCAAUGCAGCAUUUUUCUUCCUGGUUCCACAUUAAUACAUCCUAUCUCUGCUAUGCUUAGGUCCCUGAUUUAUAAAUAUUUCAGACAUAUUUUCUCAGGACACAGGGAGUACUUAAACUUCCACAUAGCAGAGAUACGACAUACAAUAAGCUGUUAUCUGGAAACUCCUAGUGAUGCUUUGAGUACUUUACAGUAAUCUUUCUGGUCUUCCUCUCAACCCCAUUAAGUUUUUCUGUAACUAGCUGGUGUAUCUGUCUCCAUCUUUAAGGAAUAAGUCCCUAUUUGCUCAUGCUAUAAUCUCCCUCAUGCUCUCCGUCCCUCCUUCCCUCUCCUUCUCUCUUUCUGUCUCUCUCUCUCUCCACCCUGAUUGUGAGAUGCUACACCUUAAUAGUUUUCUAUACCUAGAUCCCUUUUGAAGGAGUAAUUUCAGCCAUCACUGAAAUCUAUGCUUUUUUAUCUUGUUAGAUUUAUUUAGGACCUAAUGACUGUUUCUGAGCUAAUAAUAACGCAAUCAGCUCAUAUUUUUCUGAUACUCUAAGAGCAAUUACAUCUAGUUGCAUCACCUUUUCCUUUUUUAUUCAUGUAUCUUAGGCUUCUCAAGAUAUGAGACUAGCACUUGAGCCUGAGAUAAGCCUUAAGAAUUCCAGGAUAGUCUCUCCAUAGUUCCCUUUCUUGGAUAAAGUCAUUUCAAAACAUCUUAGUGGAUCAGAUUUGGAGCAGCCUACUUACACUGGUGAAUACCACAACUAAUAAAUAAUUGUUCUGCACCCCACCCACAUCUAAAGGAUUCAGGGUGUCUUUUACAGAUAUAGGACUCUCCUUUCUCUGUUUCUCUUCUCUCUCUUCUCCUUGAUUAAAGCUUUGCUUCAGCUGUCCCUGCUCACUACGGCACUGCACCUCACCAGCAUCUUCAUGGCCCUCACAUGGCUCAUGUGCAUAUCCUAACUCUGAUACUAAGGGAGGAGACCACCCCUCAUAUUGUCUUAUGCCCAAUUUCUGCCUCCAAAGAAAGAAGAAGUAAAAACUAAAAGGCAGAAAUGAAAUCCACAAGCAGACAGCCCGGCGCCACACCCUGGGCCUGGUAGUUAAAGAUCGACCCCUGACCUAAUCGGUUAUUUGCAUAAGAAAAGCACUGUGAAGAUCCCUGUCCUGUUCUGUUCCAUUCUAAUUACCGGUGUAUGCAGCCCCCAGUCAUGUACCCCUGCUUGCUCAAUCGAUCACGACCCUCUCACGUGGACCCCCUUAGAGUUGUGGGCCCUUAAAAGGGACAGGAAUUGCUCACUCGGGGAGCUUGGUUGUUGGAGAUGUGAGUCUUGCUAAAGCUCCCAGCCGAAUAAAGCCCUUCCUUCUUAA